GACGUAGGAGGCGAGCGUUGUCCGGAUUGAUUGGGCGUAAAGAGCACGCAGGCGGUUUGGCAAGUCGGACGUGAAAAUCCGGGGCUCAACCCCGGACCUGCAUCCGAAACUGCCCGACUAGAGGUAGGUAGGGGAGAUCGGAAUUCCUGGUGUAGCGGUGAAAUGCGCAGAUAUCAGGAGGAACACCGGUGGCGAAGGCGGAUCUCUGGGCCUUACCUGACGCUCAGGUGCGAAAGCGUGGGGAGCGAACAGG
rnacentral:rRNA from 1 species